CACGUAGGGGGCAAGCGUUGUCCGGAUUUAUUGGGCGUAAAGAGCUCGUAGGCGGCUCAGUAAGUCAGGUGUGAAACCUCCAGGCUCAACCUGGAGACGCCACCUGAUACUGCUGUGGCUAGAGUCCGGUAGGGGAGCGUGGAAUUCCUGGUGUAGCGGUGAAAUGCGCAGAUAUCAGGAGGAACACCAGCGGCGAAGGCGGCGCUCUGGGCCGGUACUGACGCUGAGACGCGAAAGCGUGGGGAGCAAACAGG
rnacentral:rRNA from 1 species